GUUGGGUUAAGUCCCGCAACGAGCGCAACCCUUAUACUUUGUUGCCAAUGAAAAUCAGGAACUCAAAGUAGACUGCCGGUGAUAAACCGGAGGAAGGUGAGGAUAACGUCAAGUCAUCAUGGCCCUUACGAGUAGGGCUACACACGUGCUACAAUGGGGCAUACAAAGUGGAGCA
rnacentral:rRNA from 1 species